rnacentral:rRNA from 1 species
GACGAACGCUGGCGGCGUGCUUAACACAUGCAAGUCGAACGGAAAGGCCUUUUCGGAGGUACUCGAGUGGCGAACGGGUGAGUAACACGUGGGUGAUCUGCCCUGCACUCUGGGAUAAGCCUGGGAAACUGGGUCUAAUACCGGAUAGGACCGCACUUUAGUGUGUGUGGUGGAAAGUUUUUUCGGUGUAGGAUGAGCCCGCGGCCUAUCAGCUUGUUGGUGGGGUAAUGGCCUACCAAGGCGGCGACGGGUAGCCGGACUGAGAGGUUGGUCGGCCACAUUGGGACUGAGAUACGGCCCAGACUCCGACGGGAGGCAGCAGUGGGGAAUAUGGCACAAUGGGCGCAAGCCUGAUGCAGCGACGCCGCGUGGGGGAGGACGGCCUUCGGGUUGGAAACUCCUUUCGCCAGGGACGAAGCGUUUUGUGACGGUACCUGGAGAAGAAGCACCGGCUAACUACGUG